rnacentral:rRNA from 1 species
CGGCGGACGGGUGAGUAACGCGUGGGGAACCUGCCCUAUACUGGGGGAUAACAGUUAGAAAUGACUGCUAAUACCGCAUAAGCGCACGGAGCCGCAUGGCGCUGAGUGAAAAACGAUAGUGGUAUAGGAGGGACCCGCGUCUGAUUAGGUAGUUGGUGGGGUAACGGCCCACCAAGCCGACGAUCAGUAGCCGACCUGAGAGGGUGACCGGCCACAUUGGGACUGAGACACGGCCCAAACUCCUACGGAAGGCAGCAG